rnacentral:rRNA from 1 species
CAGUCGCCGCGGUAAUACGUAGGUGGCAAGCGUUGUCCGGAAUUAUUGGGCGUAAAGGGCUCGCAGGCGGUUUCUUAAGUCUGAUGUGAAAGCCCCCGGCUCAACCGGGGAGGGUCAUUGGAAACUGGGAGACUUGAGUGCAGAAGAGGAGAGUGGAAUUCCACGUGUAGCGGUGAAAUGCGUAGAGAUGUGGAGGAACACCAGUGGCGAAGGCGACUCUCUGGUCUGUAACUGACGCUGAGGAGCGAAAGCGUGGGGAGCGAACAGGAUUAGAUACCCCGGUAGUCCCUGUCUCUUAUAC